UAUUCUGCCCCAUGGGGAAGGAUGAGAAGCUUCGACCAAGGUUCGACUCGAGCGAAGCGAGAGAACGUUGCCGCAGGCAACGGCCCGAAGGCGAGGCGCUUUAGCGCCGAGUAAUCCUUCCCCCACCACUG
rnacentral:sRNA from 1 species